AGAGUUUGAUCCUGGCUCAGGACGAACGCUGGCGGCGUGCUUAACACAUGCAAGUCGAGCGGUAAGGCCUCUUCGGGGGUACACGAGCGGCGAACGGGUGAGUAACACGUGGGUGACCUGCCCUCGGCUCUGGGAUAAGCCUGGGAAACUGGGUCUAAUACCGGAUAUGACCUUUCCUCGCAUGGGGUUUGGUGGAAAGUUUUUUCGGCUGGGGAUGGGCCCGCGGCCUAUCAGCUUGUUGGUGGGGUGAUGGCCUACCAAGGCGACGACGGGUAGCCGGCCUGAGAGGGCGACCGGCCACACUGGGACUGAGACACGGCCCAGACUCCUACGGGAGGCAGCAGUGGGGAAUAUUGCGCAAUGGGCGGAAGCCUGACGCAGCGACGCCGCGUGGGGGAUGACGGCCUUCGGGUUGUAAACCUCUUUCGGCCUUGACGAAGCCUUCGGGUGACGGUAGGGGUAGAAGAAGCACCGGCCAACUACGUGCCAGCAGCCGCGGUAAUACGUAGGGUGCGAGCGUUGUCCGGAAUUAUUGGGCGUAAAGAGCUCGUAGGCGGUCUGUCGCGUCGGUCGUGAAAACUUGGGGCUUAACCCUGAGCUUGCGGUCGAUACGGGCAUGACUGGAGUUCGGCAGGGGAGACUGGAAUUCCUGGUGUAGCGGUGAAAUGCGCAGAUAUCAGGAGGAACACCGGUGGCGAAGGCGGGUCUCUGGGCCGAUACUGACGCUGAGGAGCGAAAGCGUGGGGAGCGAACAGGAUUAGAUACCCUGGUAGUCC
rnacentral:rRNA from 1 species